CAGCAGCAGCGGUAAACAGAGAGGGAGCGGGAGGGGGAGAGAGAAGGAGAGUAAUGGUUUCGUUGAAACUCCAAAAGCGGCUUGCUGCCAGCGUCCUCAAGUGCGGCAAGGGGAAGGUGUGGCUCGAUCCGAAUGAAGUCAAUGAAAUCUCCAUGGCCAACUCCAGGCAGAACAUUAGAAAGCUAGUGAAGGAUGGUUUCAUCAUCAGGAAACCAACCAAAAUUCACUCGAGAUCUCGUGCUCGCCGAAUGAAGGAGGCCAAGAGGAAAGGCCGUCACUCUGGAUAUGGUAAGCGCAAAGGUACCAGGGAGGCUAGACUGCCUACCAAGGUGCUUUGGAUGAGGAGAUUGAGAGUCCUCAGGCGUUUGCUUCGCAAGUAUAGGGAAUCAAAGAAGAUUGACAAACACAUGUAUCAUGACAUGUACAUGAAGGUGAAGGGUAAUGUUUUCAAGAACAAGCGUGUGCUGAUGGAAAAUAUCCACAAGACAAAGGCUGAGAAGGCUAGAGAGAAAACCUUGUCCGACCAAUUUGAGGCUAGGAGGGCAAAGAACAAGGCAAGCAGAGAAAGAAAGUUUGCAAGGAGAGAAGAACGUUUGGCUCAGGGACCAGGAGGAGAGAAGCCAGUACAACCUGCAGCACCAGCCGCUGCUGCACCAGCCCAGCCAGCCCAGGGAUCUAAGAAGUCGAAGAAAUGAGCGUGAUGAAUUGUAAGGAGGGUUGGCGCUAUGCCUACUUUUUGUCCUUGUUAGUAUGGCAGUUUAGUAUGUUUGAUCCCUUUGCCCUUUUUGGCCUUUUAACUUUAAAAGACAAUGUUACUUGUACUGAAUUUGAAAGCUGGUUUAAAUUUUUGAUACGUUGAUCCUUUUAUAUGUUUUAAUCGUUUUUCU
rnacentral:misc_RNA from 1 species